AUUGAACGCUGGCGGCAUGCCUUACACAUGCAAGUCGAACGGCAGCACGGGAGCAAUCCUGGUGGCGAGUGGCGAACGGAUGAGUAAAGCAUCGGAACGUGCCCAGUUGUGGGGGAUAACGUAGCGAAAGCUACGCUAAUACCGCAUACGAUCUGUGGAUGAAAGCGGGGGACCGUAAGGCCUCGCGCGAUUGGAGCGGCCGAUGUCAGAUUAGGUAGUUGGUGAGGUAAAGGCUCACCAAGCCGACGAUCUGUAGCUGGUCUGAGAGGACGACCAGCCACACUGGGACUGAGACACGGCCCAGACUCCUACGGGAGGCAGCAGUGGGGAAUUUUGGACAAUGGGCGCAAGCCUGAUCCAGCAAUGCCGCGUGCAGGAUGAAGGCCUUCGGGUUGUAAACUGCUUUUGUACGGAGCGAAACGGCUUCCACUAAUACUGGGGGCUAAUGACGGUACCGUAAGAAUAAGCACCGGCUAACUACGUGCCAGCAGCCGCCGUAAUAC
rnacentral:rRNA from 1 species